AUGCAAGUCGAGGGGCAGCAUGGUCUUAGCUUGCUAAGGCUGAUGGCGACCGGCGCACGGGUGAGUAACACGUAUCCAACCUGCCGUCUACUCUUGGCCAGCCUUCUGAAAGGAAGAUUAAUCCAGGAUGGGAUCAUGAGUUCACAUGUCCGCAUGAUUAAAGGUAUUUUCCGGUAGACGAUGGGGAUGCGUUCCAUUAGAUAGUAGGCGGGGUAACGGCCCACCUAGUCAACGAUGGAUAGGGGUUCUGAGAGGAAGGUCCCCCACAUUGGAACUGAGACACGGUCCAAACUCCUACGGGAGGCAGCAGUGAGGAAUAUUGGUCAAUGGACGAGAGUCUGAACCAGCCAAGUAGCGUGAAGGAUGACUGCCCUAUGGGUUGUAAACUUCUUUUAUACGGGAAUAAAGUGAGGCACGUGUGCCUUUUUGUAUGUACCGUAUGAAUAAGGAUCGGCUAACUCCGUGCCAGCAGCCGCGGUAAUACGGAGGAUCCGAGCGUUAUCCGGAUUUAUUGGGUUUAAAGGGAGCGUAGGCGGACGCUUAAGUCAGUUGUGAAGGUUUGCGGCUCAACCGUAAAAUUGCAGUUGAUACUGGGUGUCUUGAGUACAGUAGAGGCAGGCGGAAUUCGUGGUGUAGCGGUGAAAUGCUUAGAUAUCACGAAGAACUCCGAUUGCGAAGGCAGCCUGCUGGACUGUAACUGACGCUGAUGCUCGAAAGUGUGGGUAUCAAACAGG
rnacentral:rRNA from 1 species